GGCCCUUUCAGGCUAUCGGUCGGAGCCUUGGCUUCUGUCCGCAGGCUCCGCCCCCUCCCGGUCUACGCUCUUUGCUGCGGGGCGCGGCCGGGGCGGGCCGGGGCGGGGGCGGGCCGGGGGUCCCGGGACCCUUCGAGGAUAUUACAGGGUGGAAACCAACACUAGUGAGAAAAGUCCUCUGAGGCUUCAUUUUCUACUAAUUGAAGAGAAAGGCACUGGCUUUGAAAACACAAACCAAAACCAGUUCCAGUUUCCGGAGGGGACUGUAGGCCUGCAGUAUGUGGAGUUUGGUGGAAGAUGCUAGGCAAACGGCUAUUUUCAUCUCUUGCACGAUUGCAGCGAAGCACCAACUGAUGACAAAAGGAAGUACUUCAAAAUUUUGCUAGUGAAUAUGUGGAUUGAAUGCCCAGAAGCAGUUAUGAAGCAUUUAGUGUGCCAUCUGAACUUUAACUUUGAUAUUCCUAAUGUAUUGAUGUUUACAUCUUCAUCUAUCUUCUUAUAACCACUUACGUAUUCAUUUAACUCUUUAUACACUUCUGACAUAUGUUCGUUUUAUGGUAGACCGUUUGACACAUAUCCAUGUUAAACACCUAUUAAAAAUGACCAAACAUUGGUUAAUAUGAGCA
ensembl:antisense Smc2os structural maintenance of chromosomes 2, opposite strand